UGGGGAAUUUUGCACAAUGGAGGGAACUCUGAUGCAGCGACGCCGCGUGAGUGAUGAAGGAAUUCGUUUCGUAAAACUCUGUUCUAUGGGAAGAAAAGGACUGUACUAUAGGAGAAAGCUCCGGCUAAAUACGUGCCAGCAGCCGCGGUAAUACGUAUGGAGCGAGCGUUGUCCGGAAUUAUUGGGAGUAAAGGGUGCGCAGGCGGCUUUACAAGUUGGAUGUGAAAUAUUGUGGCUCAACCACAAACGUGCAUCCAAAACUGCAAAGCUUGAGUUAAGUAGAGGUAAGUGGAAUUCCUGGUGUAGCGGUGGAAUGCGUAGAUAUCAGGAGGAAUACCAGUGGCGAAGGAGACUUACGGGACUUAAACUGACGCUCAGGCACGAAAGCGUGGGGAGCAAACAGG
rnacentral:rRNA from 1 species